UGAUUAACCAGGGGAAGGAGAAGGAGAAGGAGCAGACAGGUCCCUCUCACUUUCACGAUGCGGGGCAUGCAGGAGAGUAUGUGGGUCCUACCUCUGGUUCUACUGGGGCUGUUAAAGCCCUGGGCUGCAGGCUACUCACUCAGUCAGGUGUGUGUGUGUGUUGAUCAUCAGGUGUGUGACCCAUCUCAAGAUGGCACGAUCUAUAACUACAAAGCUAAGACCCUGAAUGGGAGUCGUUCAGUCUCCCUCAGUGAGUACAUGGGGAAGACCGUCCUCUUCGUCAACGUAGCCACUUACUGAGGACUCACCUUCCAGUACCUGGAGUUGAAUGCACUACACGAGGAGAUGAAGGAUUAUGGGUUUACCAUUCUCGGGUUCCCCUCCAAUCAGUUUGGAAAACAGGAGCCAGGAGAAAAUCAUGAGAUUCUGGCCACUCUAAAGCAUGUCCGACCAGGAAAUGGAUUUGUUCCAAACUUCCUGCUAUUCCAGAGGGGGGAUGUGAACGGAGACACAGAACAAGGAGUCUACACUUUCCUUAAAAACUCCUGCCCGCCAGUAGGGGACAGCUUUGAGAACCCCACCAACAGGCUGUUCUGGGAGCCCCUGAAGAUCAACGACAUCAAGUGGAACUUUGAGAAGUUCCUGGUCGGACCGGAUGGGAAGCCCGUGAUGAGGUGGUUCCCCCGGGUCCCAGUGUCUGAGGUUCGGGAGGACAUCCUCAAAUACUUCCGUCAACUCUUCUCCCAGUCCACCCAGCAGAACAUUGACUAAGAUUUUAUGUGCCUGUAGAUUUUAAAUUCCUGUAUUGAAAUUCAGCCUACAGAUUUAUUAGAUUCACCUUUUUAGAUACAUGAAAACACAGUGGACUGGUGUCCAGGGUCCAGAUUACACCGCUUUCUGGACUAAAAAGCACUUUCGAUGGAAAUUCUUCAAUGAGUAUGCUGUCAUUUCAUUCCAAGAGUAGGCUUAAUCUGGAUCAAGUGUAGAAUAGAACAUCAUUCAACUGAUUUGUAGAAGAAACUGUCAAUCAAUUCAAAUGAACGGCUGGCUGUGGUGGUAGUGGGUAAUGGGUCGCUGGUCAUAAAGGUGGCAUGUUGUAUGAAGGUGAGGCUUGAAAACAGCGCGUCUGUGGUGCCAAACCUGAGUUCUAGGGUCCAGGCCAGUCCUUCAGUGCAUUCAGGCUGGGCCUGGUAACCCUAGGAGCCAUGUUACCUCCUGGUCCUGCCACCCAGUGCUGCUGCCUGACUAAUUCAUGUCAAUAAAUCACGUCAGUAUAA